UACGGGGGGGGCAAGCGUUGUUCGGAAUUACUGGGUGUAAAGGGCUCGUAGGCGGCCAACUAAGUCAUACGUGAAAUCCCUCAGCUUAACUGGGGAACUGCGUGUGAUACUGGAUGGCUUGGAUUUGGGAGAGGGAUGCGGAAUUCCAGGUGUAGCGGUGAAAUGCGUAGAUAUCUGGAGGAACACCGGUGGCGAAGGCGGCAUCCUGGACCAAUAUUGACGCUGAGGAGCGAAAGCUAGGGGAGCAAACGGG
rnacentral:rRNA from 1 species